UACGUAGGCAGCGAGCGUUGUUCGGAUUUACUGGGCGUAAAGGGUGUGUAGGCGGUUCUUUAAGUUUGGUGUGAAAUCUCCCGGCUCAACCGGGAGGGUGCGCCGAAUACUGAGGGACUAGAGUAUGGGAUGGGAAAGUGGAAUUCCUGGUGUAGCGGUGAAAUGCGUAGAUAUCAGGAGGAACACCUGUGGUGUAGACGGCUUUCUGGACCAUAACUGACGCUGAGACACGAAAUCCUGGGUAGCAAACAGG
rnacentral:rRNA from 1 species